GACGGAGGGCGCAAGCGUUGUUCGGAAUUACUGGGCGUAAAGCGCGCGCAGGCGGGAAGGUAAGUCUGGAGUGAAAUUCCGGGGCUCAACUCCGGAGCUGCUUUGGAUACUGUCUUUCUAGGGACCGGUAGAGGCCGGUGGAAUUCCCGGUGUAGCGGUGAAAUGCGUAGAUAUUGGGAGGAACACCAGUGGCGAAGGCGGCUCACUGGACCGGUACUGACGCUGAUGCGCGAAAGCGUGGGGAGCAAACGGG
rnacentral:rRNA from 1 species